GCAGCACCAGACGGAGCGCUCUAGCUAAGGGAUACAGAUUAGAGAUGAGGACCUAACUCCAAAGAGUAAUAACUCUCUGCUGAAGUGACUUCACAGAUAAGAAAAACAAGGAAAAGAAGACAGAAAAGUCUCUCAAUGCCUUCUUCCUGCUCGACUACAGACUAGCUGGAGCUGCAGCCACCAUCCUGUGAUCAUGAGGCAACAAGCAUGGAGAUAAGUUUCAGAAAGUCACAGAAAUAGGAUCUUCCAGACCUAGGGAUUGAGCCUGCAUCUCCCGCAUUAAAGGUGGAUUCUCUACCACUGAACCACCAGAGAAGCCACGGUUCCAAUAUGACUGGUGUCCUUACAAGAAGAAAUGUGGACACAGAUAUGCAC